UAAAAAGGAAUACUGUUGAAACUUCAUGGCUUUAUUCAUCCCUCGUUUGCACUAAUUUUUACCCCAAAUCAUAUUAGUGUUGCAUCGUUUCCCAGAUGGUCAAAGGAUAUAUAUCUUGUUAAUCGAAACUAGGGUCCGUAAGGAUUCCCUGAUGGGCCUUGCAGAUUUGUUAAACGAUCUUUACACCUAAACCAGCAGCUAAAAUCGUAAUCAAGCCGAUCGCUUUUUGAGAUCUGAGAACAAUAAUCUGUAAUCCUAUUUAGCUAAAUAUGGUGCAAAAUUUUUUCACUCAUCUUCAAUUAGUAAUUUUCAUCAUAAAUAUGGCUACGAAUCAAUUUCCACCACAAGAGCAUAAUCUGAGGUUUGCAUGAACUGCUGAUUAAAGGUAACUUUGCGUCCAGUCUUUUCAUAUAACG
rnacentral:misc_RNA from 1 species